UACGUAGGGGGCGAGCGUUGUCCGGAAUCAUUGGGCGUAAAGAGCGUGUAGGCGGUUCGGUAAGUCGGCUGUGAAAGUCCAGGGCUCAACCCUGGGAUGCCGGUCGAUACUGCCGGACUAGAAUCCGGAAGAGGCGAGUGGAAUUCCUGGUGUAGCGGUGAAAUGCGCAGAUAUCAGGAGGAACACCAAUGGCGAAGGCAGCUCGCUGGGACGGUAUUGACGCUGAGACGCGAAAGCGUGGGGAGCAAACAGG
rnacentral:rRNA from 1 species